UUGUACAGUCUCAAUGACCGGAAGGGAUUCCUUCCGGUCAUCAAAGGUCAUCAAGACCAUUCAAUGACCGGAAGGACCCCUUCCGGUCAUCAACACCAUUCAAAUUUUGAUGACCGGAAGGAAUCCCUUCUGGUCAUCGAGACCAUUCAA
rnacentral:miRNA from 1 species